AUCCAGUUGACGAGUUCGAAAUAGAACAAAACGCGCGUCCUGGAU
rnacentral:hammerhead_ribozyme from 1 species